GGCCUCUAUCAUUUUAAUUGAUCCCUCUCUCUCUCUCUCUCUCUCUCUCUUUGUGCAUCUCUUCCUCGUCUAACAAAUUGCAGAUCUGAUUCUUUAGCUCACCGGAUGGAUGCCAAGACCAAACCCUCUCAUCCUUUCCGCAAUGCCAUCGCCCGCGCCCCUAGAUACCUCCGCGAUUAAGUAGCUCUAUUGCCGCCAGUCCUAUAGCCACGCAAAAGACGAGUCGGGCAUUGCACAUGCGAUUGGGAAGGUCCUGUGGCUGAGGACAUGUUUUAUUGGCAAGCAACGAUUAGGGGACCCCCUGAUAGCUCAUAUGCAGGAGGUGUAUUCCUUAUUACCAUUCAUUUCCCUCCUGACUAUCCUUUGAAACCACCUAAUUAAGGUUGCAUUUAGGACUAAGGUCUUCCAACCGAAUAUCAAUAGCAAUGUCUUGAUAUCCUCAAAGAGCAAUGGAGUCCAGCCCUUACUAUAUAUCUCUAAGAGGAGGAGGUUGGGAAAUGGGAGGUGAAAGAUGUGCUUUAAUUCACGUUCUUUGAUAGCCUGCAAAACAGUAUGUAAGCCCUUUAACUCACUGUUUGAUUCCAAUAAUAAAGUCCAAUAUCAAUGGAGCUUCAGGUGUUGUGGUUCUGAGCAAAUUGGUCGCUCUCUGUGUUUCCUUCGGCUAUGGCUGUGCUGUAAGUCAUACUCAUUGACAUUUCAAAUUAUGCAUUUUUCUGCCAAAUAUUACCAUAUGUUAGGAUGAAAGGAGAGUUAGUGUACUGAUAAGUAUGCUCUGUUGCAUCAAGUUGUUGGUAUAGGUUAAAUGUGACAUACACCAAGUUAGGAGUACAAUAGUGUAAAUUACAAUUUGUUUGUGCACUAGUCCUAAAGCGUAAUAACAAUGUUUUGUAGAUAUAAUAAUCAUCAUAUGUUGAAUCAGGAAUUACGGAAGACUGGGCCUUACUGUUGUAGCAUACUCAAUUUUCAGUUCAUCAAUGACGAUUGGAGAAAUGAUUGGUGCAUUAGUAAAUGGGACGAUAAUGGAUCUUGUUGGUUGUAGAGGUGUAAGUUUUUCUAUAUACUCUUUAACUCUGGGCCUGCUGAAUAUUGUUAAAUGUGAAAUUUGAAAUUUCUUUUUGUUCUAUUCCUUGCAUGUGUUGAUCAAGCAGAUAAUGUGGUUUUCUGAAAUAUUCAGUGUUGCAGGGUGACUCACUAUAGCAUUUACAGAGGUUUUUUCUUUCUUUCCUAUAUAUAUAUAUAUGCACAGUUAAUAUGCUCAAAUUUACAUUUUACCAAAGGGAAUGAUUUUUUCAUAGAUAAGUCUUUAGAUUGGACUGAAACUUUUGAAUACAUUGUAGACAUAUAUGGUUGUAGUAAAAGUUGUUGGCAAGUUCGAACCGAUACUAAAAAUGUUCAGAUGAAGAUUGUCAGUGAUUGCUAGGAAAAAUUCAAAGGCAUUUUUUCCUCCUUGUGUGGCUUCUUUUUGUUUCCUUAGUGGUUAGAUCACUAGCUUACUAUGUUCUUACUGAGCUCUUAAUGAUGCAGUGCCAUUAAUAUUUUGAUGCUCAAAAGGAAAGAAAGAAUCGUAAAACAGUUCAUUGGGAGAUGGUUAAGGUAGAUUUCUACUUUUGUAGUUUUCCUUUAAUCUGAUGGUAAAAAAUUAUUGGGAAGAAAGAAAUUAUUGAAACUCUAAGAAACUCUAUUUUAAAUUUGGUUAGUAAUACUAUCUCAGUGGUUAAUAAGAAGGUUAAUUAGUUAAGUUAUGUGAUACUGGGGGUUUUGCAGGGCUUACAUACUGUUUUGCAAGUUGUCAAAGAAAGUGAUUGCGACCCCUUCCUUGGUGAUUGCAAUCACUUUCUUUGACAUGUGAUGCUUUUCUGCACUAGAGAGAACAGAAGUUUCUGGUGAUUGUGAGCAAUAUCUUGGAUUGGAGCAUGCUAGUGUAGUUUCUCGUGAAAGUUUCUAUCUGAACCCUUCACUUUCAAGAAAUCAAAUACACUGUAAACAAUUAGAAUGCUAGUAUAGACUAUCCCAAAUACUCAAUAUCUUGAAUUAUUCUCAUUUGUAAUUGAGUAUAGCUGGAAGUUUUGAGAUUGUAUUGAAUUGAAUAUUACUAGUUUGCAGAUCGGUUUGGUUGGCCAAGUCAUAUGUAUUGUGAUAUGGACUUGAAUUGGAGUGUAGAUCAUACUUUUAAUAUUUUUUUUGGACAAUUUUUUAGUUUCAAGGACAUAGUUUAUGUGUCCUCUAUUAUAUUUAAGGACAUCUAUUUUUCGGAUGUAAGGACACAAUUCCAGUGUCCUCUUAUACAU